UACUUAUCCAGAAAGACCGAGGGACUGGGCCCUGUGACGUCUUGGCAACCUGAGUAAAACAAGGUGCCAACUCCCAUUUUGCCCCCCACGGGCAGAAGAAGAUAAGUG
rnacentral:ncRNA from 2 species